rnacentral:rRNA from 1 species
AACACUAUCCUUCAGUUUGGCUGGAUCGGAGACAGGUGCUGCAUGGCUGUCGUCAGCUCGUGUCGUGAGAUGUUGGGUUAAGUCCCGCAACGAGCGCAACCCUCGCCCUUAGUUGCCAGCAUUUAGUUGGGCACUCUAAGGGGACUGCCGGUGAUAAGCCGAGAGGAAGGUGGGGAUGACGUCAAGUCCUCAUGGCCCUUACGGGCUGGGCUACACACGUGCUACAAUGGUGGUGACAGUGGGCAGCGAGCACGCGAGUGUGAGCUAAUCUCCAAAAGCCAUCUCAGUUCGGAUUGCACUCUGCAACUCGAGUGCAUGAAGUUGGAAUCGCUAGUAAUCGCGGAUCAGCAUGCCGCGGUGAAUA